rnacentral:rRNA from 1 species
UACGUAGGGGGCUAGCGUUGUCCGGAUUUAUUGGGCGUAAAGAGCGUGUAGGCGGCCAAGCAGGUCCGCUGUGAAAACUCGAGGCUCAAUCUCGAGACGUCGGUGGAAACCGUUUGGCUAGAGGCAGGUAGGGGAGAUCGGAAUUCCUGGUGUGAGCGGUGAAAUGCGCAGAUAUCAGGAGGAACACCGGCGGCGAAGGCGGAUCUCUGGGCCUGUCCUGACGCUCAGGCGCGAAAGCUAGGGGAGCGAACAGG